rnacentral:rRNA from 1 species
CCUUACCUGGUCUUGACAUCCACGGAAUUCGGCAGAGAUGCCUUAGUGCCUUCGGGAACCGUGAGACAGGUGCUGCAUGGCUGUCGUCAGCUCGUGUUGUGAAAUGUUGGGUUAAGUCCCGCAACGAGCGCAACCCUUAUCCUUUGUUGCCAGCGGUUAGGCCGGGAACUCAAAGGAGACUGCCAGUGAUAAACUGGAGGAAGGUGGGGAUGACGUCAAGUCAUCAUGGCCCUUACGACCAGGGCUACACACGUGCUACAAUGGCAUAUACAAAGAGAAGCGACCUCGCGAGAGCAAGCGGACCUCAUAAAGUAUGUCGUAGUCCGGAUUGGAGUCUGCAACUCGACUCCAUGAAGUCGGAAUCGCUAGUAAUCGUGGAUCAGA